UGGGGAAUAUUGCGCAAUGGGGGGAACCCUGACGCAGCCAUGCGCGUGAAUGAAGAAGGCCUUCGGGUUGUAAAGUUCUUUCGGUAUUGAGGAAGGUUGAUGUGUUAAUAGCACAUCAAAUUGACGUUAAAUACAGAAGAAGCACCGGCUAACUCCGUGCCAGCAGCCGCGGUAAUACGGAGGGUGCGAGCGUUAAUCGGAAUAACUGGGCGUAAAGGGCAAGCAGGCGGUUAUUUAAGUGAGGUGUAAAAGCCCCGGGCUUAACCUGGGAAUUGCAUUUCAGACUGGGUAACUAGAGUACUUUAGGGAGGGGUAGAAUUCCACGUGUAGCGGUGAAAUGCGUAGAGAUGUGGAGGAAUACCGAAGGCGAAAGGCAGCCCCUUGGGAAUGUACUGACGCUCAUGUGCGAAAGGGGGGGGAGCAAACAGGAUUAGAUACCCUGGUAGUCCACGCUGUAAACGCUGUCGAUUUGGGGGUUGGGGUUUAACUCUGGCGCCCGUAGCUAACGUGAUAAAUCGACCGCCUGGGGAGUACGGCCGCAAGUUA
rnacentral:rRNA from 1 species